GAAACAGAGAGAAGUUGGCGCACACAAUGGAUAUUUUUGAUUAAAAAAAUAUCCAUUGUGUGCGCCAACUUCUCUCUGUUUC